rnacentral:rRNA from 1 species
GUGGGGAAUCUUGCGCAAUGGGCGAAAGCCUGACGCAGCCAUGCCGCGUGAAUGAUGAAGGUCUUAGGAUUGUAAAAUUCUUUCACCGGGGACGAUAAUGACGGUACCCGGAGAAGAAGCUCCGGCUAACUUCGUGCCAGCAGCCGCGGUAAUACGACGGGGGCUAGCGUUGCUCGGAAUUACUGGGCGUAAAGGGCGCGUAGGCGGACAGUUUAGUCAGAGGUGAAAGCCCAGGGCUCAACCUUGGAAUUGCCUUUGAUACUGGCUGUCUUGAGUUUGGAAGAGGGGAGUGGAACUCCGAGUGUAGAGGUGAAAUUCGUAGAUAUUCGGAAGAACACCAGUGGCGAAGGCGACUCACUGGCCCAAUACUGACGCUGAGGCGCGAAAGCGUGGGGAGCAAACAGGAUUAGAUACCCUGGUAGUCC